AGCGCGUGCUGUUCAUCUUCAGUAGAGCUCGAGUGUAGUGAAUCAUACUGACGGACUCAUCUAACUCGAUGGAUUACGAACUCGUAAUUAUUUAGUUAACAAUAACAUUACUGAUCUUUAUACCACACUGAUCACUUUUCAGCGUCAUAUUCUGAUGAGCUACUACUACUUAACAAAUGACAUACGAACUGUUUCGUUACAUCGCUACAAGUGCCAUGAUUUGUGCAUUUAAUAUUUACAACGCCAAAUAGAUUCGGAGUUAUUUUUUAACCUGCUUUCGAUGCUUGAAACUCCUUUUAAAACAAUGGACUUGGCAUGCUGUAAAGUCCUACUUAUCAUGACUCUCCUGAGCGUUUUACAGGUUCGUAGUAACACGGUUUCGCCAUCCAAACAUCCAGGCCUGGAGGUGUUGGCGACCGCUUCACACUACUGGCCUCUGGAUUCAGUGGAGGGGAUCUAUGGUCUAUCAGACCAAAUUGGGAACAGAACAGGUCAUGUUAAUGGGACUAACAUAAGUAUGUGAACAUGCUGUUGUGUCACACCUGCUCUUUCUUUCUUUCUUUCUUUCUU